GUUAGGAAUAUUGGACAAUGGGCGAAAGCCUGAUCCAGCCAUGUCGCGUGAACGAUGAAGGCCUUCGGGUUGUAAAGUUCUUUAGCCGAUGAUUAUAAUGACUGUAGUCGGAAAAUAAGCCCCGGCUAACUUCGUGCCAGCAGCCGCGGUAAUACGAAGGGGGCGAGCGUUAUUCGGAAUCACUGGGCGUAAAGCGUGCGUAGGCGGUUUUGUAAGUUAGGAGUGAAAGCCCAGGGCUCAACCUUGGAAUUGCUCUUAAAACGGCAAGGCUCGAAUCUCGGAGAGGAUAGCGGAAUUUCCAGUGUAGCAGUGAAAUGCGUAGAUAUUGGAAGGAACACCAGUGGCGUAAGCGGCUAUCUGGACGAGUAUUGACGCUGAGGCACGAAAGCGUGGGGAUCAAACAGGAUUAGAAACCCGGGUAGUCC
rnacentral:rRNA from 1 species